CGGCAACAGCUCAAAUUUGAAAUCUGGCCCCCAGGGCCCGAGUUGUAAUUUGCAGAGGAUGCUUUUGGCAAGGUGCCUUCCGAGUUCCCUGGAACGGGACGCCAUAGAGGGUGAGAGCCCCGUCUGGUGGGACACCAAGCCUAUGUAAAGCUCCUUCGAC
rnacentral:rRNA from 1 species